UAGGAGCCACUAGUUGAGCCU
rnacentral:miRNA from 1 species